rnacentral:rRNA from 1 species
UGGGGAAUUUUCCGCAAUGGGCGAAAGCCUGACGGAGCAAUACCGCGUGAGGGAGGAAUGCCUUUGGGUUGUAAACCUCUUUUCUCAGGGAAGAAGAUCUGACGGUACCUGAGGAAUAAGUAUCGGCUAACUCCGUGCCAGCAGCCGCGGUAAUACGGAGGAUGCAAGCGUUAUCCGGAAUCAUUGGGCGUAAAGCGUCCGCAGGUGGUUUCCAAAGUCUGCUGUUAAAGACUGGAGCUCAACUCCGGAACGGCGGUGGAAACUUGGAAACUAGAGUUCGGUAGGGGUAGCAGGAAUUCCCAGUGUAGCGGUGAAAUGCGUAGAUAUUGGGAAGAACAACGGUGGCGAAGGCGUGCUACUGGACCGUAACUGACACUCAGGGACGAAAGCUAGGGGAGCGAAAGGGAUUAGAUACCCCUGUAGUCCUAGCUGUAAACGAUGGAAACUAGGUGUGGCUUGA